AGAAGAGAGCGUCUAGGCGAACAAUGUUCUUAAAGUUUGACCUCAAAUCAGGUAGGAGUACCCGCUGAACUUAAGCAUAUCAAUAAGCGGAGGAAAAGAAACCAACCGGGAUUGCCUUAGUAACGGCGAGUGAAGCGGCAAAAGCUCAAAUUUGAAAUCUGGUACCUUCGGUGCCCGAGUUGUAAUUUGGAGAGGGCAACUUUGGGGCCGUUCCUUGUCUAUGUUCCUUGGAACAGGACGUCAUAGAGGGUGAGAAUCCCGUGUGGCGAGGAGUGCGGUUCUUUGUAAAGUGCCUUCGAAGAGUCGAGUUGUUUGGGAAUGCAGCUCUAAGUGGGUGGUAAAUUCCAUCUAAAGCUAAAUAUUGGCGAGAGACCGAUAGCGAACAAGUACAGUGAUGGAAAGAUGAAAAGAACUUUGAAAAGAGAGUGAAAAAGUACGUGAAAUUGUUGAAAGGGAAGGGCAUUUGAUCAGACAUGGUGUUUUGUGCCCUCUGCUCCUUGUGGGUAGGGGAAUCUCGCAUUUCACUGGGCCAGCAUCAGUUUUGGUGGCAGGAUAAAUCCAUAGGAAUGUAGCUUGCCUCGGUAAGUAUUAUAGCCUGUGGGAAUACUGCCAGCUGGGACUGAGGACUGCGACGUAAGUCA
rnacentral:rRNA from 1 species